rnacentral:tRNA from 1 species
GAAAUAGGUAACUCAAGAAUAAGCUUCUAACUUAAUUCUUUAGCGAUGGGAUUCGUUAGUAUUUCU